GGGCCUGUAGCUCAGUUGGUUAGAGCGCACCCCUGAUAAGGGUGAGGUCGGUAGUUCGAAUCUACCCAGGCCCACCACCUCUAUCUUAAAACUAUCUGCUAUGCUGGUAGUGAUG
rnacentral:tRNA from 1 species